rnacentral:lncRNA from 1 species
ACAAUAAGUUCAUACAACUUCAAGAAUAAAAAAUAUAAAACCCAUGUCCCUUUGUUAGGGCUGCAUCCAGCCCUAGAGAGGAGAUCAGCCUUCCAUGAAGUUGUGGGCGACAGCAGCAAUGGCACAGCAGUGGGCUUCCAUUUGCAUCACGAUCGGCUUCCUUUCCCUCAGCACUUCAUUCUUAAUUUUUUGUAUAUGGGAAGUUAUUCCCAAAAUAUCCAAACCUCUCUCCCUCCUCUGCUUUUUUUUAUUUCCGUGGUAUUCCCUCCUGAGAAGAGAUUGAUGCCGAAGAAGGAAACGUCUCCCCUUUUAUAAGCCGCUAGCUCCCCCUCCAUCCUCCUCUGUUUCUUCACAUGGGUAGAAGGAUAAGCUUGGAUGCGGGAUAAGGAUGGAAGAAGGUGAUGAUCGGAUGCAGUUGGAGUUGGAGCUUAUCCCGUGUGACUUUGUUCUGCUGGGAGAAUGUGAUCCGGAACGCUGGGAUGAGCAUGGGAGAUGCGUUGGGAGAUGAUCCUUGAAUCGCGGAUGCUGGGAUUAAUCCGGAAGGGGAGUUCUAAUCCGUGGAUGCUAGAGAUCAAGUUGGUUCGGAUUUGGAAGAGAAAAUAUGGAAUACGUGCUGUGACACAAGUGGUUCUCGUUGGGGAAGAUGGAAUGAACGAGCUGGCUCUGUUUUGCAAGCUGGGAUUUAUUCGGAAGAAGGUUAGCUUGAUCUGAUCCUCACGGCAGCUUGGAUUUCGUGGUAGAAGCUCACGGCUAGGGAAUGGGAUUUGAGUUUAUCCCGUGAAGAUGGAGGGAAUCCGAACGGGAUGAAGGCUGGAUUCGUGAGCUGAGAAGAAGUUGGGAUAAGCUUGGAAUCUAGCGGAAGAUGGGAUGCUCAUCCAUGGAUCUGCUUGCUCUCAUCCGGAAGCAAAGAACAACUCAAGGCAGGGGAAAAUGGGAGGUGAUCCGUGAAGCUCGGGUUGCUGGGAACAAACGCGUGAGCUGAGAAGAUGAUGCUGGAGGAUUGAGCGCAUGGGAUAUGGAUGAUCACGGAGUACCUGGACAUGGAAGGAAACGGAUGGGAUGAAGGUGGAUCGCAGAAAAUCGCUGGGACUCUGUUUUGGGAUACGGAUGAACGUGAUACAGGGGAGAGAAUUUGUGAGAUUUCUUAUGUGGAUGGUUGAAUCAAGCAUAUCCGAAUGCGAACGGGAUGAACGGAAUUCGGAUAAGGAAUACUCGGAUAUGCUGGGAUGAAUCCGGGAGAAGAGAAGAUUGGAUUCGGCCGUGGAGAAAGAUAAGGAUGCUGGGAUGGAUUAAGUCAGAACAGGGGAACUGAGACGGGUUGGAUUUCAUGGGCGAUGGAGUCUAUCCGGACGGGAGGAAUGACGUGGAAAUGGAGACGUGAUAUCCGAAAGAAAAGCUCUUCCGUGGUGCUCGAGGAGGAAGAGCGAGAUGUGAGGAGUGGAAGAGUUGGGAAAUGGCAUUGAAGGGAUCUGAAACUAGAUAGUAUGCAACUAGAUAGUAUGCUUUGAGAUCUGAAAAAUAAAUAAUUGAAGGGAUUUUGUUAAAAUAAGAUAAUUGGAUCAUGUGGAAAAAGAGUUGGAACGAGUGGGAAAAAAUUUAGGCGAAUGUGUGAAGAGUCAGGAAUUAAUGGGAAGCACUGGAUUUUGGAGAAAAGUUCUUGGAGUCGACUCUGGAGGAUGUAAAAUUGUGAAAUGAUGCAGUGUAGUUUAGGCUUUACCUAAUUAAGCGUGACUUGACCUGCAUACAUUAAGCUCAAUCAGUAAAUAAGUAAA